GACGAACGCUGGCGGCGUGCCUAAUACAUGCAAGUUGAGCGCUGAAGGUUGGUACUUGUACCAACUGGAUGAGCAGCGAACGGGCGAGUAACGCGUGGGGAAUCUGCCUUUGAGCGGGGGACAACAUUUGGAAACGAAUGCUAAUACCGCAUAAAAACUUUAAACACAAGUUUUAAGUUUGAAAGAUGCAAUUGCAUCACUCAAAGAUGAUCCCGCGUUGUAUUAGCUAGUUGGUGAGGUAAAGGCUCACCAAGGCGAUGAUACAUAGUCGACCUGAGAGGGUGAUCGGCCACAUUGGGACUGAGACACGGCCCAAACUCCUACGGGAGGCAGCAGUAGGGAAUCUUCGGCAAUGGACGAAAGUCUGACCGAGCAACGCCGCGUGAGUGAAGAAGGUUUUCGGAUCGUAAAACUCGGUUGGUAGAGAAGAACGUUGGUGAGAGUGGAAAGCUCAUCAAGUGACGGUAACUACCCAGAAAGGGACGGCUAACUACGUG
rnacentral:rRNA from 1 species